ensembl:lncRNA
UUGGUCCAUAUCACAAAGGAGGUUCAUGUCCUGUGCUUCACUUGAGGAGUGUUUCAAAGCAGUGAUUCAAGGAUGAGACCACACCCAGACUGCUGCAGGUGGACAGAGCCCAAGGAAGGGCCACAGGGAUGAUUAAGGCACUGGAGAAUCUCUCCUGUGAGGAAAACUGAGACAGCCGAGACUGACACGCCUGGAGAAGGCUUGGAGGAGAUCUUAUGCAUGAAUAUCUGAAGGGAGAGUGCAAAGAUGGAGCCAGGCUCUUCUCACCAGUGCCCAGUGAUGCACCAGAGGCAAAGGGUACGAACUGAAACACUGGAGGCUCCCCCUGAACAUCAGGAAACACUUCCACCACAAGAACAGCAGCACCAGCACAGGGGACCAGAGAGACUGGGGCAUCUCCUCUGUCAGAGGUGCUCCAAAGCCAGCUGGACACAAUCCUGGGCUUGGGAAGCCCUGCCUGAGCCUCUGCAUUGGAUGUGAGCACCUCCAGAGCUCCCUGCCAACCUCAACCAUACUGUGAAGAAAAGGCUAAGUCAGCAGUUAAGCUGAACUCAAAGAGCAUCACUUUACUUCUGAGUGCCCACACAGAGUGUGGGUGUUUAACAAAUGUGGCACAACAAAUCCUCUUUAAUUUCACACUUUUAAUAAUUCAGGUUAUCUUGUUUAUGUAGGCACAAGAAGAAAACUCCCUAAGCAGUGAUAUUUUCAUAUCACAUGUUUUCUUUAGCUUUUUGGGGGUUUUUUUUAAGGAAAAGAAAUCAAAUUAUCUGCAACUGCUGCAUAUCCUGUGCAUCAGCAGCUGAAGAGGCCCUUACCACUUAAUCUAUUGGACUAUACCCUUUGCUAAGAGCAGUAGAAGAUUGAGAGUCUGGCACUGCUUCAACCUGACCUUGAGCUGGGAAUUAAUUUUUAAGAGUCCCUUCUUUCCUCUCAUUGCUCUUUAAUAAAUUUUAAGCUUUACUUCUUCAAGGAUUGUUAUUACAAAGCUGGUGUGCAGUUACACUAGGGUGGUUCAUUGUGUUAUUCCAUAUUAGAGAUAAAAGUGCAAAUAACACUUCCUGAACAAAACAUCUGUGUAAAAGUUUAAUUAGAUUUCUAACUGCAUCACAAUAAUUAUUCCACAAACUGGGGGAGCAGAGCAGUUCUGUACUUUCAUUUUAAAAAUACCAAAUAAUGCAUGAUUGCAUGCAUUCCUUAAAAACAGUUUCUGCCUGAAGCUAUAAGUUACAAGAAUUUAACUAAAGCAAAAUGAAAGCCAUGUGCCAGCUAGUGCAAGAGAUCAUCAUCAAAGACAUUAACCAGGUAAAUAUUGCAACAAGAAUAAAACAAAAUCACAAUAAAUACUCCUUAUUUGCUAAUCUAUUUUAUUUUAAAUGGGUAUACCUGUCAGUAAAAGACCAUUAUUUAUAAAUAACUUUCCCACUGAAAGCAAUUCUUCAGCCUUUCUUUAUCUCAAUAAAUAUAAAUUUUCCAAACUUUCAAUAAUGAGAAGGCAGAUGCACAUAACUAAAAGCCUGUCACUAUUUCAAUUUUAAGACUGCUCAAGGGGAAGGGACAUCACACUUAGGGGGAUUCCAAGUUGUCAGCAGUGCCUUUUUUCACAGCUAGGUCCUUGCCAAGCCAUUUAAAGGCAAGCUUGCUAUUUUGCAUAUCACUAACACCCGCCCAUCCUUCACAUUUCCCUCCACUACUGCCCUUUUGUAUUAUACAUCAAAGCACAGACCUCUUAAGUAGCAUGAUGGAAAAAAAAAAAAAAAAAAGAGAGACACUAAUGUUACUUACAUUCCAUCACACUGUUACUCCUUGCUUUUACUUGUCAUUCCCUUUGAAUCCCCUAUUGAUGUGACACACUGGGACGUGGAUGUAUUACAGAUGCAGCAUGAUUCAUCAGGAGUACAUGGCUCCACUUGCAGCACAAAAAUGUUCUUAGGAGGUACCCGAGUUCAUUGAAUCUGUGUUUCUCACUAGGAGGUCAUUUUAAUCUUUUUCUUGGCUUUCCCAGACCGCUUUCCCUGCAUCCCUGCUCUGCAGUCAAGGACUGUGCUCUUAAAGAGCUGUGGGCAGUGGGCUGAAGUAAUGCAUGCUGGAUUGUGCCCUCCAUUCUGCCUUCAAAUACCCUGAAAAAUGUUCAGACCUGGUGGAAAUUGUGACUAGAUCUGAUGAUCUCCUGAACUCCUGACACCUGACAAGUUAAUAGAGUCAUUUGUGCCCCUUUACCAGCUCCAGAUACUUUCAUUUUCUAAGAAAAAAAUACCUUUCCUGGAUCAAAUCUUUCUAUGACACAAAAAUAUAAUAUCUCCUUGAUGAUGAGUAGCCUUGAGGAGCUUAUACUGUGGCUCUGUCUCAGGAAAAAAGAGGAUAUAAUUAUCUGCAGAGAUAGAGAGAAGAAAAAAACCACUGGAAAAUAACAACUUCAUGAGCAUUUAAUCCUGGCAUAGAGUGGCAUGGUCACAGUUCAUUCCUGCCUCUUUCAUCUCUGGCUGGUUUUAGGUGGGUUUAGUUCUCCCAGCCUGCAGAGGAGGGGGCAGCUCGAGGACAGCACAGAGCAGAACUGCCCAGGAGAAGGCAGAUCCAUCAGGCAGCUUUUUCAGCACCAGGGGAACUUUGUGUUACCUCAAAAUGUGCAUGAAACUGCACUGUUAAUACUUGUGUUGCCAGAACUGAAGAGUGCUAUUUUGUUCUGUAGUCCAUUUCCUAUAAAACCUUGGAAUUCCACAGGAUGAGUACUCAGAUGUACUAUUCCAAGUGCUUGACUGCAGAUUGUGGCCAAACUAAAACUGAAGCCAGCUGUAUUCCUUGCAAAUUACCACUGCAAGCCCUGUGCCUUCCUGCUGCUUUGCAAUUCCAUUACUCUCUGUAGUUUUGCCAAGUUUGCUACUGCAUAUAAAGAAUAUAGGCUUUCAUUUUAAAGGAAACAUACAUACACUCGAUAAUCUUAUAUGAAUUUUGUUGUUUCAAAUAACUGAGGACUGAUGCUGUUGAGGCAGGACGGGAAUGAAUAGACUUUUUUUCAGAAGGCAGCAAGUAUAACUCUGGUUUAUUUUAAAAUACAUCCCUUUUUUAUACAGAGCUUCGUGCAGACCAACUCGAUUGGUCCUGAAGUGGAAACAAGUCACACUACUGGUGUACAGUGCAUGACACAAAGUGGCAGAACUUAAUUAUAAACAAUGUGAACAGCAAGAAAGAUAAAGAAUUUAUUUACAUUCUUCUCAGCAGUUUCUCAGGCUUUUGCCUGGUUAGAGAUUUUCCGUUUCUCUCUUUGACUGAAUCUGAGACCGACAGAGGACAAAUCUGGCUUCCAAUUUCUUUAGAAGUUUGUCAAACACUCCCUGCAAACCCCUCAAAUGGUAACUUGUCAAAAGUUUCACUACUGAAAACUUUUAGAGACAUAAAAAUCUUUUAAGCAACACUACACAGGCAAAAACUCACAGUUAUCCAAGGAGGCUUUGGGACAAACCAGAAGAUGGAAAGAUUUCU